UUGAAGUUAGCGGCGGACGGGUGAGUAACACGUGGGUAACCUACCUAUAAGACUGGAAUAACUUCGGGAAACCGGAGCUAAUGCCGGAUAACAUUUGGAACCGCAUGGUUCUAAAGUAAAAGAUGGUUUUGCUAUCACUUAUAGAUGGACCCGCGCCGUAUUAGCUAGUUGGUAAGGUAACGGCUUACCAAGGCAACGAUACGUAGCCGACCUGAGAGGGUGAUCGGCCACACUGGAACUGAGACACGGUCCAGACUCCUACGGGAGGCAGCAGUAGGGAAUCUUCCGCAAUGGACGAAAGUCUGACGGAGCAACGCCGCGUGAGUGAUGAAGGUUUUCGGAUCGUAAAACUCUGUUAUUAGGGAAGAACAAAUGUGUAAGUAACUGUGCACAUCUUGACGGUACCUAAUCAGAAAGCCACGGCUAACUACGUGCCAGCAGCCGCGGUAAUACGUAGGUGGCAAGCGUUAUCCGGAAUUAUUGGGCGUAAAGCGCGCGUAGGCGGUUUCUUAAGUCUGAUGUGAAAGCCCACGGCUCAACCGUGGAGGGUCAUUGGAAACUGGGAAACUUGAGUACAGAAGAGGAAAGUGGAAUUCCAUGUGUAGCGGUGAAAUGCGCAGAGAUAUGGAGGAACACCAGUGGCGAAGGCGACUUUCUGGUCUGUAACUGACGCUGAUGUGCGAAAGCGUGGGGAUCAAACAGGAUUAGAUACCCUGGUAGUCCACGCCGUAAACGAUGAGUGCUAAGUGUUAGGGGGUUUCCGCCCCUUAGUGCUGCAGCUAACGCAUUAAGCACUCCGC
rnacentral:rRNA from 1 species